AGGUUCAGAUUUAAUAGUGAGAGCAAGCAUAACAUCCUUUCUUGCUACUCUCACGAAUUAAAAAUGCACCA